GUACUUACCUGGCAGGGGAGACACCCUGAUCACGAAGGUGGUUUUCCCAGGGCGAGGCUUAUCCAUUGCACUCCGGAUGUGCUGACCCCUGCGAUUUCCCCAAAUGUGGGAAACUCGACUGCAUAAUUUGUGGUAGUGGGGAACUGCAUUCGCUCUCUCCCCU
rnacentral:snRNA from 1 species